rnacentral:tRNA from 1 species
UAGCCUAGUGGUUAAGGCUAUGGAUCGCCAAUCCGGAGACGGCAGGCUCGAUUCCUGC